UACGAAGGGGGCUAGCGUUGCUCGGAAUCACUGGGCGUAAAGCGUAUGCAGGCGGACCGUUAAGUCGGAGGUGAAAUCCCAAGGCUCAACCUUGGAACUGCCUUCGAUACUGGCGGCCUUCGAGUCCGGGAGAGGUGAGUGGAACUCCGAGUGUAGAGGUGAAAUUCGUAGAUAUUCGGAAGAACACCAGUGGCGAAGGCGGGUCACUGGCCCGGAACUGACGCUGAGACGCGAAAGCGUGGGGAGCAAACAGG
rnacentral:rRNA from 1 species